rnacentral:tmRNA from 1 species
GGGGGUGACAGGCUUCGACUUUGGUCGUCGAGGUAGGUGAAGCGAGCCGUGGUCUCCGGAACCACGUAAAAGAGCCGGAAACAUAAAAUAAACGACGAGUCACAACUCGCCCUUGCCGCUUAAAUAGGCAACGUUCAGCCAUCCUCGGUUCCACGGGAUGAUCCUGAGCGACGACUAGUGGAACUUACUUAGGAUCUCUCUCCCGAAGGCACCCUGAGGAAAUCUAAUCGGGAUAAGCUGCUCGAUGAUCGAUAGAGUUCAUCUGAGGCCGACAAUUCUUCUCUAUCUGCGCUCGGAGAAGCCCUACUGAGAAGCUGAAGGACGCGGGUUCAAUUCCCGCCACCUCCACUA